rnacentral:rRNA from 1 species
GACGAACGCUGGCGGCGUGCCUAAUACAUGCAAGUCGAACGCACAGUUUAUACCGUAGCUUGCUACACCAUAGACUGUGAGUUGCGAACGGGUGAGUAACGCGUAGGUAACCUGCCUGGUAGCGGGGGAUAACUAUUGGAAACGAUAGCUAAUACCGCAUAAUAUUAAUUAUUGCAUGAUAAUUAAUUGAAAGGUGCAAUUGCACCACUACCAGAUGGACCUGCGUUGUAUUAGCUAGUAGGUGAGGUAACGGCUCACCUAGGCGACGAUACAUAGCCGACCUGAGAGGGUGAUCGGCCACACUGGGACUGAGACACGGCCCAGACUCCUACGGGAGGCAGCAGUAGGGAAUCUUCGGCAAUGGACGAAAGUCUGACCGAGCAACGCCGCGGGAGUGAAGAAGGAUGUCGGAUCGUAAAGCUCUGUUGUAAGAGAAGAACGGGUGUGAGAGUGGAAAGUUCACACUGUGACGGUAUCUUACCAGAAAGGGACGGCUAACUACGUG